GUGAAUCAUCAAAUCUUUGAACGCAAAUUGCACUCUCUUCGGAGAGUAUGCCUGUUUGAGGGUCAGUAUUAAUAAAAAUCGGUGUGUUGCUUCUUUGUGACUCUCCGGAGUCUGGGUCAUCUUAAUAUCCUUGUGGUUUUAAGAGGCUUAAAUUUGACUUUUUUUGCGCAUUUAAGAUUUACAUAAAUUCUUUUUUUUUUUAGUAUGUCUUA
rnacentral:misc_RNA from 1 species